GUAGUCUCGCACAGAUGCAUAUCAAUAAGCGGAGGAAAAGAAACUAACAAGGAAUUCCCCUAGUAACGGCGAGUGAAGCGGGAAGAGCUCAAAUUUGAAAUCUUAAAGGGUUUCCCUUUACGAAUUGUAGUUUAAAGAAGUGUUUUCUGUUGAGGUUUUGGUAAAAGUUCUUUGGAAUAGGACAUCAUAGAGGGUGAGAAUCCCGUAUUUGACCUUUACUUUCAACUUUGUGAUACACUUUCAAAGAGUCGGAUUGUUUGGUAAUGCAGUCCCAAAAUGGGUGGUAAAUUUCAUCUAAAGCUAAAUAUUGGCGAGAGACCGAUAGCGAACAAGUACCGUGAGGGAAAGAUGAAAAGAACUUUGAAAAGAGAGUUAAACAGUACGUGAAAUUGUCAAAAGGGAAGCGUUUGACACCAGUGUUGUUUUUCUGAAAAUCAAUUAAAGAACUGUUUAUGCUAAGUUGUUUAGACUUUAUCAGCUAUCUGCUUAGUUUUGAGCUUUUCUUUAAUGCACUUUUCAGUUAACAAGUCAACAUCAAUUUCUUUUGCUGUAAAAAAGCUUGAGGAAGGUGGCUUGAGAUUCGUCUUAAGUGUUUAUAGCCUCUUGCCUAUGCAGUCGGAGAGAUUGAGGUCUGCAGCGUAGAUCCUUCGGGGCUAGAUGCAUUUGUGCUAAGUUAUAGCAUUUUAUAGACAACUUGUUGACUAUGAUUUGUCUUGUAGCUUACUCGCUUAUGUUAUUUUACCUACGCUUAGGAUGUUGACGCAUGAGAUAUACGC
rnacentral:rRNA from 1 species